rnacentral:rRNA from 1 species
UGGGGAAUAUUGGACAAUGGACCAAAAGUCUGAUCCAGCAAUUCUGUGUGCACGAUGACGUUUUUCGGAAUGUAAAGUGCUUUCAGUUGGGAAGAAAAGAAUGACGGUACCAACAGAAGAAGUGACGGCUAAAUACGUGCCAGCAGCCGCGGUAAUACGUAUGUCACAAGCGUUAUCCGGAUUUAUUGGGCGUAAAGCGCGUCUAGGUGGUUAUGUAAGUCUGAUGUGAAAAUGCAGGGCUCAACUCUGUAUUGCGUUGGAAACUGCAUGACUAGAGUACUGGAGAGGUAAGCGGAACUACAAGUGUAGAGGUGAAAUUCGUAGAUAUUUGUAGGAAUGCCGAUGGGGAAGCCAGCUUACUGGACAGAUACUGACGCUAAAGCGCGAAAGCGUGGGUAGCAAACAGGAUUAGAUACCCUGGUAGUCCACGCCGUAAACGAUGAUUACUAGGUGUUGGGGGUCGAACCUCAGCGCCCAAGCUAACGCGAUAAGUAAUCCGCCUGGGGAGUACGUACGCAGGUAUG